rnacentral:rRNA from 1 species
AUGAACGCUAGCGGCAGGCCUAACACAUGCAAGUCGAGGGGUAUAGGGAGCUUGCUUCCUAGAGACCGGCGCACGGGUGCGUAACGCGUAUGCAAUCUACCUUUCACAGAGGGAUAGCCCAGAGAAAUUUGGAUUAAUACCUCAUAGUAUUAUAGAAUGGCAUCAUUUUAUAAUUAAAGUCACAACGGUGAAAGAUGAGCAUGCGUCCCAUUAGCUAGUUGGUAUGGUAACGGCAUACCAAGGCAACGAUGGGUAGGGGUCCUGAGAGGGAGAUCCCCCACACUGGUACUGAGACACGGACCAGACUCCUACGGGAGGCAGCAGUGAGGAAUAUUGGUCAAUGGGCGCAAGCCUGAACCAGCCAUGCCGCGUGCAGGAUGACGGUCCUAUGGAUUGUAAACUGCUUUUGCACAGGAAGAAACAACGCUACGUGUAGCGUCUUGACGGUACUGUGAGAAUAAGGAUCGGCUAACUCCGUG